rnacentral:rRNA from 1 species
UACGUAGGGUGCGAGCGUUAAUCGGAAUUACUGGGCGUAAAGCGUGCGCAGGCGGUUUGCUAAGUCCGAUGUGAAAUCCCCGGGCUCAACCUGGGAACUGCAUUGGUGACUGGCGGGCUAGAGUAUGGCAGAGGGGGGUAGAAUUCCACGUGUAGCAGUGAAAUGCGUAGAGAUGUGGAGGAAUACCGAUGGCGAAGGCAGCCCCCUGGGCCAAUACUGACGCUCAUGCACGAAAGCGUGGGGAGCAAACAGG